ensembl:lncRNA
CAUCCAAGUUCAUGCAUCAUUCUGAAACCUAACCAUAGACAGCCCCAUGGAGCUUUUUGAAUAUCAGUUUAAAUUCCCUUGAUUUAAGUCAACCCUUUCAUUUUACACAUGAGGCAUAAAGGCUAAGUAGUUUAUCCCAGAUUAUUCAGUUUGGUAGUGGAAGAGUUAGGCUCUGACCUUCCAACACAACUCUCUGAAAUAACUUGAAUCAGAGAGGCUAUACUUGGGUGCUUUAUACCUUUGAAAUGUCCUUAGAACAAUAAUGUAUAAUGAAAGGAGAACCUGCUAUGGAAACGAUCAGGCUUAAUUGUCAUGAAAAGCAGGUUUUAAAAUAUACUCAUUCAUUAGGUAUCUUGUUUUCCUUGUGAGUUUGCCUAUUAUCUACUGUUGAAUCAGUGCCAUUUUAGUCGAACAAGCUAGAUUUUUUAAAAAACUGCUUGACUUUUAAAAUUAUGCAACUCUUUUCCAUGUUAGGUUUACUUUUUUUUAUUUGAACUACAACUUUUAUGAAUGCAAAUAUGGUUGAUUGAAAUGACUCAUUUUAUCUAAUGGAUAUAUGGACAUGGAACCAUUCUUUUAGUAUUGACUAGAAACAUGAGUGGUAAAAACAAAUUCAUGACUCCUUCAGAGAAUAAAGAUCUGAAGCGUAUACAGCUCCAUGAACAAAACUUGAUAUUUCUGUUGCUAAUGUGAUUGUUAUAGAAGCCAGAGAGAUAAAGAUUUAUUUGCUUAUUUUACCUCCUUAAGAGGGUAGUUAGCAGUUUCCCAUUCCACUCAUUCCUGAUUCCAGUUGGCAUUGGAUAUAGGAAAAGGCAUCAUAAAAUUCUCAGUCUGACUAGGAAUGGCCAAGGUUACUGAUGAGCGUCCACACUCAAGAGCUCAGGAUUCCAAAAACUCUUGGAAAGAUUUAGGGAUAUUAUAGGCUGAGAAUAUAGCUUUUUUGAUACCAAGACUUCAAAUCUGGUUUUCAUCCCUUUAAUUAUAGAGUGUAAGAAGUGAAAAUGACAACAGACACAUCUGGCGGCAGUGACAAACCAGGGUCAUAUCCAUCCCUUACUCCAAAACAAAGAUCUGCUCUACCAUUUCCUGAAGGCUCCUAGAAUUACAAUCACAAAAUCAAAUUUUGAACUCUGGGGCUCAUCUUCUGGUAAUUUGUUAUGUCAUAUUACCUCUAGUUGGCUGAUCCAACUCUCCAGCUCUGGGACCUUUGUUUUGGAACCCACACAUAUAGCCCACCGUAUCUAGUCAACUCAAGCCAUACUUCACUUGUUUGGUAGAUCCUUCUCAGUAUCAUUUGCUGGAUCAUGCCCUGACUCCUAACAAUGGGUAUACUACAAAAUUCUAUCCCAUUCAAGACCAUCCCCUCUCUCUAUGACUUCUUUUUAAUUAAUUUCAUCAAAUCAUAUGUCUUCAAUUACCUUCUUAAGAAAGAUCUUCAUACUCUGCCCUUGUUUCUUUCUUGAUGUACCAUACUGACUCACCAACUACUAACUGGACACUUUCCAGUAGCUAUCCUAGAGACAUCUCACACUUAAUAUAUAGAACACAGAAUUCAUUAUCUUUCCACCGAAAUCUACUUCUCUUUCAAAUUUCCCCUUUUCCCCAGCUAAAGUACUGACCCUGGGAAUUAUUCUGUGUUUUCAUUUUAUUUAUUUCUCUGAAAAUAUGUGCAUACUAUCUUCCCUGAAUAGUAAAUGGGAUAGUUGCAUUUUCCUCUUUGUAAACUAAUUAUAUAACAGUGCCUUGAAAAUAGUAGGAACUUAAUGAUUCCUUAUUGAUUACUUGAUUUUUAUCUCCACAUUUAACACAUAGUAUGCACUUAAUAGACCCACAUUAACUUACUUUGACUAUCUCCAGUGAACUUGUAACAUUUAACACUAUCAUUUAAUCUUUAAAAGAUCUCAUUUCUAUAUAUGCAAUGUUUGUAAGGAUGCAUGCAUGCAUGUAUAUAUGCAUGGAUAUAUCAACCUGUUGGAUUAAAGGGAAAAAGGAGAAGAACAUGACUUAGAUUCAAUCAAACAGUGUCUGCUAGUAAGAAAUAUAAAAAAAGAGAGGACAAUUCUCCAGUCCAUGCAGUCUUCCCUUCAAGAUAAACAGCCAGUGACGAAGGAUUCAAUAUUUAAUUUUCUUCUACUUCUUCCAAGAUCACUUAAUUGAACUCUCGCUACAGGUGCAAACAAUUCUUUCUCAAUUUUAUAAUUGAAAACUGCCCGAGCCUAUGUAUCCUGACCAUAUUUUAAUGAAUACUUUUUUUUUUCAGAGACACGUUGGCUUUUGCCAUUUGGAAAGUACCUCUGAAGGUUUCCAUUAGAGACCCUACUUCAGAUGGGUUUAUAACUCAGAAGUAAACCUUUGUGCCAGGUGGAAACAGGGCACAAAAAGGCUUUAGCCUUAAGAGUACUUUGCUAUUUCAUAAUAAUAAAUCAAUUUCUCUUGAAGGUCAGAGUGCAAUAACAAUUUUCACCUGAUGUCACUGCCUUGCGGUUCUCCCAUUUUAUAUAAACAUCUACCGUUCACACAUUUAUAGCUAUAGGAAGUGUUUGAUUUGUGUUAGGGAAUGGGGCUCAAGAGGAAAUUGGCAGAACACUUUGUGCAUAAUAUUAAUGCAGUAUCUGGAGAGGCUAACUCAUGAAAUCAUAAUAUUUAGAGCUGAAAGGGACUUUAGAGGUUACCUAAUCUACCAUCCUCA